UGAGUGUAUAUAUUAUUUAAAUGCUGAAAACAGUACAUUUUGUACGUUUUUGUUUUCAUGAUGCUUAGAAUACUUAUCAUGAAAUCAAACUUAACAACUCAUAUUAUAAAUAAAUAUUGCAGUAAAUGUUUUAUCCGUGAACAUUCUUUUUUUAUUCAUGUGUCCUCGUAAUCUUUAAUCAAAAUAGGCGAAAUGCAUAGGCGCUGCGCAGACCUCUCCAAGUAUCAAAGUACCGCGAGAGCGAUUGGAGAGCAUACGACUCCAUGCUUUUGAAUCGCUCUCUCGGUAGUUUGAUGUCAUACGCCGAUCGGUCCGAUGCAUUUCGAAUAUGGAACCCUCUUGCAACGUCUGGCGCGAUGGCGGGAAGCCUUCCACUCCCAUGAGAUCGACCAGUAGCAAACUACAACCAUCCCAUCAAUUCCCCAUGGCCAAAAUCGAGUCCCGCCCACUGGUCUAAAUGACAUCAUUUAUGUAGAACAGUGUGUCCCGCCCUACAUUUUUUCUUGUUUGAGAAGUCGUUUUACACGUCACAGUAAGGAAGAAACUAUAAUUUCUGUUUCAUGCCUAAUUUAGUUUGGUUACAGUGGACUCCAUAAUAAACACAUCCAGAGCCUGCCAUUUUAUUACCUUUCCUCCAAACCGUUUAAGCUCCUUAGCCAGCGCCCCCGUCCUCGUGACAGCAGUGAUUCAUUUUAGCUGAAACGCCUCACAAACUUAGUGAUAUUUUUGGGUGAAAUCAAGAAACAUUUGCUCCUGUUUGAGUUGCAACACAGCCAAACACAGGUGUGUACAGUGGAAGAGAUAAACAAACGGCCCUGUACAGCAGUCUCAUUAAGUUUAACAUCGACUGGAUUUGAGUCUUUGUAACAUUUAACACUGAUAAAGUCAGUUGACAACCACAAACAAAAGUGUUGUUGGUCACCACAAAUAUCACAGCCUCUUACGACGUCUUGUGGAUGAAUCCUGUAAUCACAUAGCCUAAUUUGAAGGCUUCAUAUUAGAAAGUCAGAGCAAGUUUAAUACAUUUUAUUUUCGUGUUAUUUCUAGUUACAGCCUAUUUUAGUAUAGUAAAUGGAGCUGCUUUUUCACAUUUAUUAAUUCAGCAGAUGUUUAUUAAAAGUGAAUUCAAUUAAUAUAAGCCUAUUGUCUGGGAAAAAGUGUCCGUGUUCUUUUUAGUGUACGGAGGGAGACAAUUACAAUGCAGCUAUUCAAAUGCUGGAAUUUCCCAGAGGCUUGAACACAUGCAUAAGCAAAUAUUUACAACGCAGCUGAAAUUUUUCGAAUAGGCCUAUGUGUUGUCUCAUUUUAACACGGCCUCUUCUGAAGAAAGCAAAACGUUUUACUUGCACAGUGCCGAUUGAUAAAUCAAAAUAAGACAUUCUUAAAUGAUCACAUAAGACAAAACAUUUUAUUUCUCAAGAACAAAAGUAUGCUGAAUUGUCUCUAUGCUGCGCUAGCGACCUCUUGUGGAUUAAGCUUGCUUAUUCCAAACAGGCCUAUAAAAAAAAAAAUUGUGUGGCGAAAAACUAUGGUUAUAAAUAAGUCCCCAAGCCAAAAGCAUUUGUCCUUCCUGGAGACACAUAAGUCUCACUGCUGGAUCCAUUAUUGGUCAGUUGUUCUGUAAUGCAACGGGGAAUCAAGGAAGAAAUAAGGCAGAGAUGAGGAUCCAAGUGCAGUGGAGUUUAAUAAAACAAACAAACAAACAAUAAUGAACAACAUAACACUGGGAAACAAGGACCACAAGGAGCAGCAAAAAUCUAAUAACUGACAGAGAACAAGUAAAACACAGGGGAUAUUACAGGGACAAACAAGAUAACAAGUAACACACCUGGGGAAGACUAAUCAGCAGGGAAAACUACAACAGGAACAGGACACAGGAAUGAAGAAACAAUAGGAACAUAAAACCCUUCAACAUAAAAGUCCAUACAAAACAGGCACAACAUUGGGAUCAUGAUAGUAACACUCUCUUUAACAGGAAUAUUACAGAUAGGGGAUGUAGUUUUUUAAUCGGGAGUAACUCACAUUUAUAGGAAACUAGGAAACUAGUAUUUAUGAUAAUUCAGAGAUCACGUGAAGGCAGCAUUAUACACGGAGUAUCAGGAAGCGGAGGAAGUACCUCCUCCACCACCAUAAUCUCAGAGUCGUCAUUUGUUUGAGAUAAUCGUGCAGAUUAUCCUUCAACACCCCAGCUGCAGAAGUAUUAUCUUGACAUCCCGCUGCUUAUCCUCCCAUUGUUCUUGUUCACAAAAUUCAGGGCAUCCAGACAGAUAAUUUCUCAAUAGAUCCUCUCAAGGUUCGUUACAACUAAAACAAUGUUGGGAUUGCCGAGUUCACAAACACACCUGUGCUCAGGGCGCCAUCUUG